rnacentral:rRNA from 1 species
CCUACGGGUGGCAGCAGUGGGGAAUAUUGCACAAUGGGGGAAACCCUGAUGCAGCGACGCCGCGUGAGUGAAGAAGUAAUUCGUUAUGUAAAGCUCUAUCAGCAGGGAAGAAAAUGACGGUACGUGAGUAAGAAGCCUCGGCUAACUACGUGCCAGCAGCCGCGGCAAUACGUAGGGGGCAAGCGUUAUCCGGAUUUACCUGGGGUAAAGGGCGCGUAGACGGCAGUGCAAGUCUGGAGGGAAAGGCGGGGGCUCAACCCCCGGACUGCUCUGGAAACUGUACGGCUUGAGUGCAGGAGAGGUAAGUGGAAUGCCUGGUGUAGCGGUGAAAUGCGUAGAUAUUAGGCGGAACACCAGUGGCGAAGGCGGCUUACUGGACUGUAACUGACGUUGAGGCUCGAAAGCGUGGGGAGCAAACAGGAUUAGAUACCCUAGUAGUC